GACGUAGGAUGCAAGCGUUGUCCGGAAUUAUUGGGCGUAAAGAGUUCGUAGGCGGUUGUCUAAGUCUGGUGUUAAAGCCCGAAGCUCAACUUCGGCAUGGCAUUGGAAACUGGAUAGCUAGAGUGUGGUAGAGGUAUCGGGAAUUCCUGGUGUAGCGGUGAAAUGCGUAGAUAUCAGGAGGAACACCUGCGGUGUAGACGGCUUUCUGGACCAUAACUGACGCUGAGAUACGAAAGCGUGGGUAGCAAACAGG
rnacentral:rRNA from 1 species